rnacentral:rRNA from 2 species
GACGAACGCUGGCGGCGUGCCUAAUACAUGCAAGUCGAACGCACUUUCGUUAGAUUGAAGAAGCUUGCUUCUGAUUGAUAACAUUUGAGUGAGUGGCGGACGGGUGAGUAACACGUGGGUAACCUGCCCUAAAGUGGGGGAUAACAUUUGGAAACAGAUGCUAAUACCGCAUAAAACCUAGCACCGCAUGGUGCAAGGUUGAAAGAUGGUUUCGACUAUCACUUUAGGAUGGACCCGCGGUGCAUUAGUUAGUUGGUGAGGUAAAGACUCACCAAGACCGUGAUGCAUAGCCGACCUGAGAGGGUAAUCGGCCACACUGGGACUGAGACACGGCCCAGACUCCUACGGGAGGCAGCAGUAGGGAAUCUUCCACAAUGGACGAAAGUCUGAUGGAGCAACGCCGCGUGAGUGAAGAAGGUUUUCGGAUCGUAAAACUCUGUUGUUGGAGAAGAACGUAUUUGAUAGUAACUGAUCAGGUAGUGACGGUAUCCAACCAGAAAGCCACGGCUAACUACGUG